rnacentral:lncRNA from 1 species
GGGGGGCAGAAAAGACAGGGGGAGGAAGACAAUUCCAGGAUAAUCUUCCUUGUGAACGUACACACAAAAUCCAAAGCAAAAUAUUAGUAAACUCAUCAAAACAUAUACUCAAAAGAUAAUCCCAAAUUGGGUUAAUUAAUUUCAGGAGUACAAAGUUGAUUCCUAUUAAACAUUGUAAUCAUAUAAGAGCUGAAAAUAGGGGACCAAAGUGUGUGCUGAUGACUGAGUUACCGCUAAUGGAGGCGUGUGAGCUUCAAUCCCCAGGGGAUGCUGACGAUCACACCUGAGAAUCCCCACCCAGCAGGAGGGAGCUUCGAACCGCACUUCUGGCCUGGCUUGCGGAGGCUGAGCGCAGUCCCCUGGCCCUGGGACAGCCUUUGGACACAGAAACUCAGGGCUUGAGGCUCAGAUCCCUCUGCCUGGACCAGAACCGCCCUCAAAGGCAGAGGUGCCCUCGGGAGGCUGGGGGAGUAAAGUUCGGGCUCUCGCUGCACCUGUGAUGGGGGCCGGUGAGCAGCACACUGGGGCCCUGAGACAGCUGUGUCCCUGGUGUGUGUGGGGUGGAUUGUCCAAGACCUUGGAGUGUAAGGAAUUGGCCAUUGCUCCCAAGGACCUGGGGGUGGAGGGUUGAGCAGAAGAGUGACAGAGCAUUUGAUUUUUUUUUUUUUUUUUUUUUUUGUCGUUUUAGGGCUGCACCCACGGCAUAUGGAGAUUCCCAGGCUAGGAAGUUUACAAAACUCCUGAUAGCUGGCCAGUAGCCAGGUAAGCCCGUGAGUACUAACUGUGCAGGGCCAGACUUUCAAGAUUUUUCUCACAUUUGAACCCAGGCACAUCUAACUCCAAAAUUUAUGCUCAUUCCACUAAACCACACGGCUGCAGAGCAACAUGACCUGAUCAUCAGCUAAUCACCACUCAGUGGUUCUCCAAGUCUGGCCUGGGGACCAGCAUCAUCAGGGAACUUGUCAGAAAUGCAAAGUCUUGAGCCCCUUUGCAGAACUACUGAGUCAGCGAUGCCAGGGUGAGGCCUGGGACUCUGAGGUUUAAUAAGUCUUGAGGAGCUCAAAGUCUAGAACCAUUGGUCUAAAGAAAAGGUGGGAAAAAUACUUUAUAAUGUCCAAGGCAGAAAGAAACAUGUUAUUGCUUUUUAUAAGAAAAUUGCUCCAAAAUAAAAACCUAACACUCUAGUAGGCUUUUUAAAAGUCUAACAUUGAAAUAUAUCAAGGUCCUGAUAAAUUAGAAAAAAUUCAAAAUGUUGGUCAGCCCCAAAUUUCUAUGUACAUACACUCUAUCAAGAUACCAAACAUUUUACAAUGAUGGCUGAACAUUUUUUGAUGACUAUUUCACAUGCUAAGAUUAUGGUAAAAUUAUCUGGAUAAUGCUUUGCAAUAUUAAGUAGUUUCUUUUUCUCCUUGUAUUUUCAUUAUAUUUGAUACAUGCUUUUUGUCUUAGAGAUGACUGGUAGGAGGAUGAGAAGAGAGCAGCUUAUGAGUCUUUUUAACUUUUUUUUUUAAUUAAAAAUACAAUUUAAAAGCUUAGUCCUGGGAGUUCUCUUGUGUAUCAGCAGGUUAAGGAUCUGGCACUAUCACUGCUGUGGCUCAUAUUCGAUCCCUGGCCCUGGAACUUCUGCUGGCCGUAGGUGCGGCAAAAAAAAAAAACCAAAAAAACAAAAAACAUAGUCCUGUAAGGCAUUUGUAGACCCAGAUAAAUACCUCCAACAAACUCUCAAUAGAAUUUUCCAGAAAAGGUAGGGAAAGAGGGAGAUGGUCCCCCUGAGAACCAGAGAAGCCCAGCCCUUGCUGGUCAGGAAGCAUCUCGGAAGCUGCAUCCCUCCAGAUGACAAAAACAAGGUUAAUUCUGUUAAAAAAAAAAAAAAAAAAAAAAA